UCUAUGUGCCCCUCCCCCCCGCACGCACCCCGAGAGCAUUGUGGGAGGUUCCUUGAGGAAGGUCUUCUUCCGCUUCCUGUUUCCCUUCUUCCUUUCACGUGGCUUUCACGAUGAGGAAGAUAAGUAAAUUUAUCGGGCGAUUCGGCCAUGCCUAUGACCAGGAACAGAAGGGAAGCGAACUGAGGUUGUGUUCUGUAGGCGGCGAAUAGGCUCCGACUCGUAUGCGGCUUGAUGGCUGUAGCGUCAAGUCCAGGGAAAUGUGAAAUACUGUACCCAGAAGCCUGUGUUGGAAGAGUGCACAACCAUGGAAGUACAUCCUUAAAAAUAGUGAGAUAACCAAAAGCAUGGCUUUUGUUAUUAAAGCAUAAGCCAUCAAGUUUAUUUGGAAAAGUUGUUACGAGACCUUACUGCUUGAAGGGGAGAAAACUAUGCACUAGAUCAACUCUGCAUGCUAAGUGGAUGAGACACCAAACCACACUGGAUUAAGAGUCCCUACUGAUUUUGUAGUCUUGGAUUACUAUGAAGGGGAAAGUGCCUAAGCAACUGCUUUUCAAGUGUUCAGCAGGAGAGUGGAUCCAUAAAUUUGGAGAGCUAUUGUUAACUUUCGUCUCAAGUAUUAAUAAAAUGUUUGCGUAAAAGCUGAA